rnacentral:rRNA from 1 species
GAAUAGAUACCCCGGUAGUCCACGCCGUAAACGGUGGGCACUAGGUGUGGGCGACAUUCCACGUCGUCCGUGCCGCAGCUAACGCAUUAAGUGCCCCGCCUGGGGAGUACGGCCGCAAGGCUAAAACUUAAAGGAAUUGACGGGGGCCCGCACAAGCGGCGGAGCAUGUGGCUUAAUUCGACGCAACGCGAAGAACCUUACCAAGGCUUGACAUACACCGGAAACGUCCAGAGAUGGGCGCCCCCUUGUGGUCGGUGUACAGGUGGUGCAUGGCUGUCGUCAGCUCGUGUCGUGAGAUGUUGGGUUAAGUCCCGCAACGAGCGCAACCCUUGUCCCGUGUUGCCAGCAGGCCCUUGUGGUGCUGGGGACUCACGGGAGACCGCCGGGGUCAACUCGGAGGAAGGUGGGGACGACGUCAAGUCAUCAUGCCCCUUAUGUCUUGGGCUGCACACGUGCUACAAUGGCCGGUACAAUGAGCUGCGAUACCGCGAGGUGGAGCGAAUCUCAAAAAGCCGGUCUCAGUUCGGAUUGGGGUCUGCAACUCG